UAAUAGCGUAUAUUUAAGUUGUUGCAGUUAAAAAGCUCGUAGUUGGAUUUCGGUUAAGAGCGACCGGUCCGCCGUUUGGUGUGCACUGGUUGGUUUUAACUUCCUGUAGAGGACGUGCUCUGGGUUUAACGACCUGGACUCGGAGUCUACGUGGUUACUUUGAAAAAAUUAGAGUGUUCAAAGCGGGCUUACGCUUGAAUAUUUCAGCAUGGAAUAACACUAUAGGACUCCUGUCCUAUUUCGUUGGUCUCGGGACGGGAGUAAUGAUUAAGAGGAACAGUUGGGGGCAUUCGUAUUUCAUUGUCAGAGGUGAAAUUCUUGGAUUUAUGAAAGACGAACUUCUGCGAAAGCAUUUGCCAAGGAUGUUUNCAUUA
rnacentral:rRNA from 1 species